CAUACUGAAUGACACAAUUUAAACAAAUGAAGAUGUUUAAACAUAUCACCAGCAAAUGUGUUUAUUUAUUAUCCCGAAUAAACACUCCAGACAAUGUAUUUCGUUCGGUUAUUGUGUUGAUAUUAUGUUUGACUAUUGGUAAUACAAAAAAAAAUAGUGUUGAAAAACAUAUUAUGGCGUGAACAUAGAAUGAUAUUCUUCACUUGUUAUACUCAGACAAAAAUGUGGUUGCUAUGGACACAUAAAUAAGUAACAAUUAUCAUAAGCAUCUGUAGCCUGCGAUAAAUCAAAAUUAAUUCACUACCAUAUUCAUAAACUGUCCGAAACUGUGGAUCCAGCGCACUCAAUAACUACUUUCCGGUAAUCUAGAUUGAUAAAGCUCAGUGCAUGGAUACAGGGCUAUAAAGGCCGCCUCCCACGUCCCUCUUUGUGUAACGGACGUUCCUGGUGCAGACUUCGAGAAGGUCUGUUUGAUCCCUUUCAACGUUGACAUGGACAACUUCGCGUUUUGCCUGACCAUCACCCUAACGCAACACAAUAUAACGUUCUUAUAUGACAACACAUGUUACAAGAUACCACCUAACCCUACACACAU